rnacentral:rRNA from 1 species
AUACGAAGGGGGCUAGCGUUGUUCGGAAUUACUGGGCGUAAAGCGCGCGUAGGCGGAUUUGUUAGUCAGAGGUGAAAUCCCAGGGCUCAACCCCGGAACUGCCUUUGAUACUGCAAGUCUUGAGACCGAGAGAGGUGAGUGGAAUUCCUAGUGUAGAGGUGAAAUUCGUAGAUAUUAGGAAGAACACCAGUGGCGAAGGCGGCUCACUGGCUCGAUACUGACGCUGAGGUGCGAAAGCGUGGGGAGCAAACAGGAUUAGAAACCCGAGUAGUCC